GAUGAACGCUGGCGGCGUGCCUAAUACAUGCAAGUCGAGCGAACGGACGAGAAGCUUGCUCCUCUGACGUUAGCGGCGGACGGGUGAGUAACACGUGGAUAACCUACCUAUAAGACUGGGAUAACUUCGGGAAACCGUAGCUAAUACCGGAUAAUAUUUUGAACCGCAUGGUUCAAUAGUGAAAGACGGUUUUGCUGUCACUUAUAGAUGGAUCCGCGCUGCAUUAGCUAGUUGGUAAGGUAACGGCUUACCAAGGCAACGAUGCAUAGCCGACCUGAGAGGGUGAGCGGCCACACGGGAACUGAGACACGGUCCAGACUCCUACGGGAGGCAGCAGUAGGGAAUCUUCCGCAAUGGGCGAAAGCCUGACGGAGCAACGCCGCGUGAGUGAUGAAGGUCUUCGGAUCGUAAAACUCUGUUAUUAGGGAAGAACAUAUGUGUAAGUAACUAUGCACGUCUUGACGGUACCUAAUCAGAAAGCCACGGCUAACUACGUG
rnacentral:rRNA from 1 species